rnacentral:rRNA from 1 species
GACAAAGGGGGCGAGUGUUAUCCAUCAUAACUAGGUGUAAAAGGUACGUAGAUUGAUUAAUAAAAAAUAUUAAUGAAAUUUUAUAAAAAACUAUAAAAAUUAAUGUUUUUUAUAAUCUAGAGAAAAAAGCGGGUAAAUGGAAUCACUAGUGUAGGGUUGAAAUCCAGCAAUAUUAGUGGGAAGGCUAAAAGCGUAAGCAGUUUACUAGCGUUUUCUGACAUUGAGGUACGAAAGUCUGGGGAGCAAAUGGG